GGAAACAUACCCUUACUUCUGGCUCAUCUGCACUAUACCUCCUUCUUUAUGCAACAUUCUACUUCUGCACCAAGCUUGAAACCACAAAGUUGGUGUAUGCAAUAUUUUACUUUGGAUACAUGCUUAUAGCUUCUUAUGCGUUUUUUGUGGUAACCGGUACUAUUGGAUUCUAUGCAUGCUUUUGGUUCACAAGGCUCAUCCACUCUUCAGUCAAAAUUGAUUAGUUAUAGCAGUCAAUGGUUUGUGUUAAAUCUCCAAAUAAGAAAGGCAUUCGGCGCCGGCUAAUGAACAGUACAAGGUUAGUAUCAAAACAUUCUGGAACUGAAUUUGAAACUUUUGGAUUAAACAUUGAGUCUUUUGAUGACCCUCUGAGUUUCCUCCUUCGUGCAGGUUAUGCUGGUGUGGAGCUUCCGGUUCCGUCGGUUGAGAAAUUGGAGAUCGAAUUAUGUUAUCCUCUUCUUGAAAGUUGCAGAUUCUUGAAAGUGAAGUCGUCUUUUGCUUUUUCUCUCUUUAUGUGCAGAUUGUUUGACUUGGACGGUAAUGCAGGCGGUUGAUGCUUCAGCGAUGAAUAUUGGUGGCUACGGUUUAGAUUCGUGCUCCUGAGGCCAAGUCACCAGCCAACCACUUCCAGUAACCAUCUUUGUCCUUAUUGAAAUCGAAAAGCCUCUUGAAGUAGUCCUCGAAUGCAAAAUUCAAAGCCUGAGCGGGGAAGUAACGGAUGACGUUUGCAGUGUUAUCUCUCCAUAGUGAAACAAUACCUUCUGAUAGGUAAACUUGACAAGCUUACGGUAAGUUGGAGGUGAGUCCUCGUGUUUCUCUUUGAUGAAUUUUGUUUCAGCAUAUUGGCUUGAACCGGUUCUUUCUUUCAGGUUUGUGAUUGCUUCAGUUAUCAUCUCAGCGAAAGUGGGAUGAGAAAGCGGCUUAUUUGCUGCAGCGGUUUUUUNNN
rnacentral:lncRNA from 1 species